AUGUUAUUUGCUUGCAGAACUCUCGCAGGCCUCGUUGGAACAGAUGGGGAUUUGGUGUGUGACAAGGUUUUGGCUGCUGAACUAAACCUAAGGCCAUGGUGCAGGGCCCCCCUUGGCGUGCUCGCGGCUCAUCCCUGGCGGUGCAGGCGGGCGCGUGAUCUUUGCUCCCGGUGGGAACGCUUUCAUCAGGGUGCGCGGCCCAUUAGCCAGCCCUUAUGCUCAGAUCAUUUGCUGAACAACCCAUCGUGUUCCAUAACCUGUUCAGCUGCCCUACGUCGCCCAUUCUUGGAAACCUUCGAAAGUGAGAAUGUCCCUCCUGCCAGGCUCUGGAAAUCACCCCAGAAAGUGUGUGCCCAGCUGUAUGUUUGGGCAAUGGAAAUGUGAAAUCGUAAGCUACUCAUGGGGCACCAUGAAGGCAAGCAGCGUGGAGAUGUGAUGUGGGGGUCCUGUUGGGGCAGCGUCAGACCCGGCCCUAUGUUUGUGGGGUGCUUGGCCCCACCAGGAGCAGCACCCGGUGCCGCAGUCGGAUCCCAGCAGGGUUUGUGGUCGCUGCGAGUGCCCAUGGCAGCACAGCCGCCUGGACACACGCCCAAGGGCUACUGCGAGGACAUUUUGAAGAUGGCAAGGACCGCCCCGCCAUGGAUGUGGUUUAGCUCAACAAAGCCCGCUUUAAAAAAA
rnacentral:lncRNA from 1 species